UAUUUCUGCUCGUUGUAAAAUGUCAGCUGUUAUCGACUGUUGUAUUAUAUAUUGCAAUUAACGAUUCACGAUAACAGAUAAUAGGGUUUUGAUUUAAGUUUUUAAUUAAUGCCAGUCGGAUAACUUUUACGAACCGUAGGGUAUAUCUCAAAAUUGAACUCUGAACACGAUUUUGAUACUGAGCUAAUACCUGUUGAUCUUAACGACCUCUCCCCUCAAGACUUUGUGGUCUAUAAGUUCGGCACUUCGGCUGUUACGUCUGCCAGGCUGAACAGGAAGCUGUACAACAACCGGUCUGACAAGUUACAAGUGUGGACCUACAUCAUAUCUUCUAGAUGUACAGGU